GAAUGAGGUUAUUCCAUGUUCCUGAUGGAGGUUAUUCCAUGUUCCUGAUGAAUGAGGUUAUUCCAUGUUCCUGAUGGAGGUUAUUACAUGUUCCUGAUGAAUGAGGUUAUUACAUGUUCCUGGUGGAGGUUAUUCCAUGUUCCUGAUGAAU